UAGGGAAUCUUCCACAAUGGGCGAAAGCCUGAUGGAGCAACGCCGCGUGUGUGAUGAAGGGUUUCGGCUCGUAAAACACUGUUGUAAGAGAAGAAUGACAUUGAGAGUAACUGUUCAAUGUGUGACGAUAUCUUACCAGAAAGGAACGGCUAAAUACGUGCCAG
rnacentral:rRNA from 1 species